rnacentral:lncRNA from 1 species
AUGUGUCCUUCAGUGCAUUCACUCAGCAUGUCUUGUUUCUCCGGAGGUCCAAUAGUUCCAGAAAUCCUUGUGAACAUUACAACAUAGGUAAGAUGAAUCUUAUAAGCCUUAAUUAAAGUAUUCUGAGAUACCUGGUAUUUGUAUGUCAGCUCCUCCUUUUC